GGCUCAGGAUGAACGUAAGCGGCGUGCUUGAUCCAUGCAAGUCGAACGGGCUGGCUAGGGGUGGAAGUCUUGGAGGGGGCGGAAGGUGAGAAAUCAUUGGAAGUCUCCAAAGGGGCAGAGACCUCGGUGCCGGUCAGUGGCGGACGGGUUAGUAACACGUAGGUAAUCUACCCAUAGGUGGGGAAUAACUGUUCGAAAGGACAGCUAAUACCGCAUAAUAUCGAGCGCAAGCUUGAAGAAAGGGGCGCAAGCCUCGCCUUAGGAUGAGCCUGCGGCCGAUUAGCUAGUUGGCGGGGUAAUGGCCCACCAAGGCGAUGAUCGGUAGCUGGUCUGAGAGGACGAUCAGCCACACUGGAACUGACACACGGUCCAGACUCCUACGGGGGGCAGCAGGAAGGAAUAUUGCACAAUGGGCGGAAGCCUGAUGCAGCGACGCCGCGUGAGCGAAGAAGGCCUUCGGGUCGUAAAGCUCUUUUCCGGGGGAAGAGGAAGGACGGUACCUCGGGAAUAAGUCUCGGCUAACUACGUGCCAGCAGCCGCGGUAAAACGUAGGAGGCGAGCGUUAUCCGGAAUUACUGGGCGUAAAGGGCAAGUAGGUGGUAGCCAAAGUUGGGUGUGACAAAUCUCGGCUCAACUGAGAAGGGACGCUCAAAACUAGGUUACUAGAGGGCAGGAGAGGGGAGCGGAAUUCCUAAUGUAGCGGUGGAAUGCUCAGAUAUUAGGAAGAACACCAGUGGCGAAGGCGGCUCUCUGGCCUGUACCUGACGCUGAGAGGCGAAAGCUAGGGGAGCGAACGGGCUUAGAUACCCCGGUAGUCCUAGCCGUAAACAUUGGAUACUGGGUAUUGGGGGGUUAAAUCUCCGCAGUGCCGAAGCGAACGCGUUAAGUAUCCCGCCUGGGGACUACGGCCGCAAGG
rnacentral:rRNA from 1 species